rnacentral:rRNA from 1 species
GCUCAGGACGAACGCUGGCGGCGUGCUUAACACAUGCAAGUCGAGCGGAAAGGCCACUUCGGUGGUACUCGAGCGGCGAACGGGUGAGUAACACGUGAGUAAUCUGCCCUCCACUUUGGGAUAGCCACCGGAAACGGUGAUUAAUACCGGAUAUGACCUGGUGCCGCAUGGUGCUUGGUGGAAAGUUUUUCGGUGGGGGAUGUGCUCGCGGCCUAUCAGCUUGAUGGUGGGGUAAUGGCCUACCAUGGCUUCGACGGGUAGCCGGCCUGAGAGGGUGACCGGCCACACUGGGACUGAGACACGGCCCAGACUCCUACGGGAGGCAGCAGUGGGGAAUAUUGGACAAUGGGCGGAAGCCUGAUCCAGCAACGCCGCGUGAGGGAUGACGGCCUUCGGGUUGUAAACCUCUUUCGCCUGCGACGAAGCGAAAGUGACGGUAGC